UCUUAGCCGUGAUGGAAGCGGAAAGCCAUUUGAAAUAAAAUUGAUUUUUUUCUAGGAAAGAAAGAGCGACCGAAGGAAGCUCCUUUAUGGCCUUUGAAAAAAUAAUUUUAUGAAAAUGCUUGUAGCGCACAGCGCGAAUAGCU
rnacentral:sRNA from 1 species